GCCACUGGGAAUCCUGUCCAGAGCCGCAGCAUGGGGCAUCUUGUUCCAUCCUUCUGGAUUAUCUUAAAGACCCAGUCACUAUAGGUUGUGGGCACAAUUUCUGCCAAAUCUGGAUUGCCCACUGUUGGGAAGGAACAAAUUAAGAUGUCUCCUGUCCACAAUGCAGAGAGAUAUAUCCACAGCGAAUCUUUAAGAACUAUUGCUUGUCAGUUGAACUGUUGAAAAAAAGGAGUAAACCUCUUAGACCAGAUCAGAAAGUGUAUGUCCUGCGACACCUUGCCCCCCGUCAUGUGCCACCACUGCAGUGGACAUAGCUCCUGACGACAGCUGCAGUAUCACUGUAAUGACCCAUGACCAAAAGUCCAGGGGCAGGGUGCUGCCUGCAAGACCUGAUGCCCAGGAUAUGCAGCAUCCCGGGUCAUAUUUAGGCUAUG